rnacentral:rRNA from 1 species
GUUUGAUCCUGGCUCAGAUUAAACGCUGGCGGCAUGCCUUACACAUGCAAGUCGAACGGCAGCACGGGGGCAACCCUGGUGGCGAGUGGCGGACGGGUGAGUAAAGCAUCGGAACGUAUCCUGGAGUGGGGGAUAACGUAGCGAAAGUUACGCUAAUACCGCAUAUUCUGUGAGCAGGAAAGCAGGGGAUCGCAAGACCUUGCGCUCUGGGGAGCGGCCGAUGUCGGAUUAGCUAGUUGGUGGGGUAAAGGCCUACCAAGGCGACGAUCCGUAGCGGGUCUGAGAGGAUGAUCCGCCACACUGGGACUGAGACACGGCCCAGACUCCUACGGGAGGCAGCAGUGGGGAAUUUUUGGACAAUGGGCGGAAGCCUGAUCCAGCCAUGCCGCGUGAGUGAAGAAGGCCUCGGUUGUAA